rnacentral:rRNA from 1 species
CCGGCACGGGUGAGUAACGCGUAUGCAACUUACCUAUCAGAGGGGGAUAACCCGGCGAAAGUCGGACUAAUACCGCAUGAAGCAGGGAUCCCGCAUGGGAAUAUUUGCUAAAGAUUCAUCGCUGAUAGAUAGGCAUGCGUUCCAUUGGGCAGUUGGCGGGGUAACGGCCCACCAAAGCGACGAUGGAUAGGGGUUCUGAGAGGAAGGUCCCCCACAUUGGAACUGAGACACGGUCCAA